UCUCAACUGUUGAGAUAUAAGGUUACCUUUCUGUCUUUGUAACUUCCAGAUCUUCAUAAAAGGAAAUCGCAAAAUUAAAAUUUCAACCAUAAAGGUGAAAGAAUUGUGUAAAAUAAGCUCUGAAGUUUCCUUAAAAUCUAACAUUUUAUAUUGUAGAUGACCAGUAGGUUUUAGAUUAUUGCACUGGAUAUUAACAUUUUAAUUCUUCCAAUUUGUUGGAUACUUAGCCGAACAAUUUAUAUUGAAAAUAACAAGAGAUUUUAAAAUCAUGUAUAUCUGACUUACCCUUUGGCUUGGAGAAACAGACACAGGUCAAUUAUAGAUUAUUCAUUUGUUAUUUUAAUUAAAUUAUAUGGACUGUGGCUUGCUAAUGCUCAAGACAGAAAAUGAAAGUGUUUUCUGCCCUUUUCCCUACACUAAGGGAUUAUUGAGAUAAUGACCUAAUAGUCUGGGUUGUGUAUAUGUCAGAAAAACUUCAUUUUAUUAAUAAGUGAUACUACAGAUACUGCCCAUUUAUUAUAUUGAUAGCAGCUGUGGAUAUGAGAAGAGUGGACCUAUAUAUGUCCAUAUAUAGGUAUAACCAAUAUAUAUGUAUAACAUAUAUAUGUCCAUAUAUAUGUAUAACCAAACCACAGGUGUUUUUUUGGAAGUCAUAUUAUACAGGGAGUUGACAGAGGUGUGAGCUGGACUUUAAGAAGCUGCACAUAAGAUGCUAGUAUGAUCAAGCUGGAAUGGACUUAGACAAUUUGAAACAACUUUUCUCAGUUUUCAGAUGAGGAAACUGACGGGUACCAAGCUUAAAUGACUUGACGAAGCUCAUAGAAGAUUAGCAGGUAGUAGAAUAAUGACUGCUGACUCCUAAUUCAGUGGAUCUUCCCUGGCCACCGUUUUGUAUUGAGCUGCAAUGCUUCCUUGACUGUUCUCCAUGCCAGAUUCUUAUCAAUGAUCUUUCACCUAAGAAACAGCAAAGAUUCUGGCAAGCACACGAUCUAGAGAUACAUCUUAUUGCGAUUUUUCACAAAAAUCAAAAGAAGAAAGAAGGCUUAGCUGGUGUUUAAUUAUUGUUAUUUUUUUCAAUAGGGAAAUCUGUACACAAUGAUUUAUCUCCAGUGAUUUGCCAUUGAUCAAUUUUUUUCUCAUUUCAUUUUCUAUUUUUUUGUUUUUUGUUUUUCUUUAUUUUUUAUUUUUUUCUCCUUUUUCUUUUUUUAAAUUUUCUGUUUAUCACAAAUGAUCAUGUAAUUAUAUGUUAAUACUAUGUAACCCCAGUGUUUUCAACUGUUUGUGAUUCAAUGUUACCCAGUUUUCUUUUCUUAAUUUUAAAUAAAUUUGAAAAAUUAUCUUAGAGUGUUUUGAGCCUGUGUUGGUACAUUUAGUUCUAGUUCAUUGUGGUAAAUCCACUUCAGUUUCUAAGUUUCCACCCUUUAGUAAAGACAUAUUUCUAAAUUUGGUUUAUAUCCUCAGUUACAAAAGAUUCUAACUGCUAGUUUUGUGACAGCAAUCACACAUACCAUCAAGGGAUGGGGCAGGCAGUUUUGGAAUGUGCUGAUGCUAGCAUUUUUAUAAGCCUAUGGCUUUUAUAGUCUAAAUUGUUCUUAUUUCUAUUAAUGCUUCAAUUUUUGACAAACACACAACCAUAGAAACAAAUAAUAAAUUUGUUUUUUGGGAAUUAUCCAGGAUUCUUGGUUAAGUGGGGAAUUUAGGCUUUGACAGCAUAAAGGAUCACGGAUAAGUAUUUUUCACGGUGGCUCUAAUUAUAAUGCUGAGCAUGUGGCAGGCACAGAAAUAUUUACUCAUUGACUGAAUAUAGCACAUCGUAAUGUUGAUUUUUUUCCAACAUAAUUUUAGAGCUAGGCAUAUUGUAUUCUAUUACACUAGACUAUAUAUCAUUCUUAAAUAGAACCAGCCUUGCUAGAUAACACAUGUUGGAGGAGAGGCCCUUCUUCUUAGCCCUCAGUGUUUCCAUCUAUGGGGAAGAAGUUCCACCAUACUAACAUUACUAUCGUCUCUCCACCUGCUCACUCACUUCUCCCCAAGGGAGGGGUGUUCGAUAUGGUUUCUGAGCUUGGAAAGAAAACUCAGGCAUGUGUAACAUGGUUCCUUCAGUCCCAUGACCCACUGUCCACAAAUGGGCUGCUCACAGAGUGCAUGCCUUCACCCUUGUUCCUGGCCAUGCAGGAAAUUGUAUGAAACAGUCCUAGCUGAAGCCUGAGAUUUUCCUGCAUUGCCUAGUCCUGGUGGGUAUCUGUCUACUCCUGGAGUUUGGAUUGGAAAGUCCACAUGCCUGAAGGUAUAAACCUAUUCUACAAAGGGGUGUUUUCUAGAAUGAAGGUAAUAUUUUUAUCUUACAUUUGCAGAAAGAGACAGAACAAUGUUAUAGGUGAGUGCAUGGACAAUGACCUCAAACAGCUAAGAUUCAAACCCCUGCGUUGAAUGAUUGAAUUGAAAUGAUUCAAUGAGCUAAUGUACAUAAAGCAUCCAGAAUGUUGCCUGGCACAAGGUAAAUGCUCUACAAAUGUCUGAUAUUAAUGUUAGCCUUUUGUUUCCCCGUUCAGUUGGUUCAGAACGUAGACAUUAUGUACUGGCUCUGCCUCACACCUCAAUAACAGAGAUUUCUUAAAGAAUAACUUAUAAACUCUUUUCAACUUCAAAUCACUCCGUGAUUAGGCUUAUCUUAUACCUUACUAGUUCUUAGCACCAGAAUUAUUUUUCCAAUUGUAGAACUAAUCAUGUUUCUCUGAAAUUCUUAAUUCGUGCAGACCUCUCAGUGGGGCUUCAAACUCUCACAGUCAGACCUCAGCAUACGUUUCCAGCCUUGUCUUCCUUACACACUGUGCUUUGGCACGAGUCUACCAUUGCUCACGGUUCCUGAAUCACAUGCAGUCUUCACACCAUGCAGCUUUGCUCUUUCUGCUUUGAGGGCUUUCCCCCUGCUCUGCUUGAUAGAUCAGAGCCCACCCUUCAUGGCCCAGCUCACAGGCCUACUCCUUUGUGAAACCUUUUCUUCUUACUCCCCAUUCAUGGAGGCCUCAUCUGUUGUGAAAGCAAAAGAACAUCUCAUUGCUGCUGUAACCCUUACUCACUUGAAUUUUAUGAAAAUUACGUGAACUCUGAGCUUCUGAAGGUCUUGGCCAGAGGGUCAGGUUCUCUUUACUUUUGUAUACUCAUCUCACCCAGCCCCUAACACAGUGACUUGCUCUUCAAUGAUUACCCAAGUAUGAGUCCAUCAAGGAAUUCUAUCAGAGUCUUUUCCAAAAUACCAACCAAACACAUCUACCUCUUUCCAUCUCCAUCUGAUCACCAUUAUCUCUGACUGGGUCUACUGUGGAAGCCUCCUAAAUUUUCUCCCUGCCUCUGUGCUGGCCCUAAUUUGGGUUAUUCCCUAAAUGGCCAUUGGAAUAAUGGAGUUAAGAUAUAAACCAAAUUAGGUUACCUCCCCACAUAAUACUGAAACCUCAAUUUUGAUCUUUCUGCACCUGCCCCUCUUUCACAUCUCAUAUUUUAUAAUCCCCCAUCUGCACCCUCACUCACUGAACUCUACUGACACUUCUCUCCUUUUCUCCUUUUGGUUUCUCAGACAGCCCAAACUUUUCUCAACCUCAGUCUCCUGCACACUCUUUUCCUUCUCCAUGAAAUGCUUAAGUCUUAACUUUUUUUUUUUUUUUUGACAGGGUCUUGCUCUGUCUCCCAGGCUGGAGUGCAAUGGCAUGAUCAAAGUUCACUGCAGCCUUGACCUCCUGGGUUCAACCAAUCCUCCUUCCUCAGCCUCUCACGUUGGUGGGACCACAGGCAUGCACCACCAUGCCCAGCUAAUUUUAAUUAUUUUUUUUUAGAGACAGGGUGUCACCAUCUUGCCCAGGUUUGUCUAGAAUUUCUGUGCUAAAGUGAUCUUCUCACCUUGGCCUCCCAAAGUGCUGGGAUUACAGGCCAUGAGCCAUGAUCUAGGCCAUGACUAGAUAUUGUUGUCCUUUAAGUUUCAGAUUACAAACCUCCUCCUAAGACACCCCGGCCCUCAGUCUAAGUUGAACACCCCCUCUGCGUAAUUCAUUAUACUGUGUAGUUGUAACCCUCAGAGCCUCAUUGUUUUUUUCACUGCAUUCAUAAGGAUUGGUAACAAUCUUUCUUCAGUGUGGGUUUUCCAAUGGUAUUAUCUGUUUUCUCCACUAGGCUAAAACUCCAUGAUGGCAGGAAUGAAGCCCAUCUUGUUAUCACUGUGUCCUGAGAAAUGAGCACAAACAGGAUGCAUGAGAGAACUGUGCUCAGUAAAAAACAGUUCACAGAUAGACUCUGAGGUCUUAAAAAUUCUCCAAGCAGAAACAGGACCCAGAGAGUACCUGGUUAAAGUCCUUCAUUUUACAAAGGGGAAAAUCAAGAUCCAGGACUUGUAAUGAGUUCUCCUAAUGCCCCAAGUCAGUGUCUGCCCAAAGGUCUCUGGUUUUUAGGGUAUCCUUCAUUAUCAAGUUCUCUUGCUUUAGGCUUCUGGAAACUAGCCAAUAACUGUAGAUUAUUAAUAAAGUAAUAUAACAGGAAAAUCAAAUGCUUCCUACACAACCUUUCACUGAGAAAUGAAAGCAAAGCCUAAGGAAAUGCCAUCUGACUAAUUUCUAACCAAUGCAAAUCUUCUCUCUUAGUCACCCCUAACAAAAAUGUCAAUGUUCUAUAAGCACAGUGAGAGGUGCCAAGGCCCAAGGCAGCUUUUUAGAUCUGCUCUGCCUCACAGAAGGGUCUAGGAUCUACUGCACAGUGGAGUGGCUCAGAGUUGCACUUGUUUAUUGGGCAAAUAGAGAAAAUCCAGAACCUUCAACAAACACCCUCUUUCUUCUAUGCCGUGGAGGGUUUUCUACCAUUAUCUGUGGCAUAUUUGUUAAUUGGUUGCCUUUAUUCAUGUUCCUGCUUCUUUUCCUCUUCAAGCCUCAAUGUUGUCAUCUCUAAAAUAGAGUGAUUGAUAUUGGCAGUCUUUUUAGCCUUGGCAUUCUUUGACCAGGAUUCUCCAAACAGAAACAAGAUCUAGAGAGUACCUGGUCCUGUUUCUGCUGUACAGUUAGUUCUCAACUUCAAAGGAUAAAUAUGAUUUGCUGAGCACAUUACUUAGGAUCUACCAUGCAUGGGAAAUUAGAUAAUCAUUUCAGCUCCUAAUUGCAUCCUCUAUUGUCCUGAGCAAGUAUAAGAUGCUGGUGAAUCCUGGAGCUAACACUUAGGUUUUCUGUUCCUUAGGACUGUAUUGUCUGCUAGACCAUUUAUUCAAAGUGGGAGGAUGAUGUUCUAAAAGCCAAUGAUAAAGCUCAUGGCAAUGCAGGGUAUAUCUGAUGGCAUGGAAUGCUUUAGGAUGGCCAAGAUUGCCCAUCAAAUGCCAAGUCACCGAAGGUACUCAUUUAUUCUAAAAAUAUCCACUAAGCAACCCUUUCUAAUAUGUGUUGUUCUAGGUUCUGGGAAAUAAGAAAUCAUUAGAAAAAGAUUUCUGCCUUCUAGAAGUACACAGUCUAAUGGUGAGAUAGGCAGGUAAGCUAUUACAACACAGUGAGAUAUGCACACGAGUAAAGCUGUUUUUCUUUGGUGUGCUCACAGUAAAGGGUAUAACUAACUCCAUCUGUGGGCUUCAGAAAGGGCUUCCCAGAGGAGGAUAUUUGAACUAGCUCUUGAAGGAUGAGAAAGAGUUUGCUUCAUAGAGAUAAAGGAGAGGAUAACAGCAGGUAGCAAAGCAGCAGUACACAAAGGUACUGAGUCCAGGCCUGGUCUCCUUUGGAAAUGGAGGAGGAGUAUAAGAGAAUUUUGUGGUAACAUCAGUAAGGAAAAAGAUGAAGGAGGGAGAGUAGAAAUGAGGCUGGAUGGGCGGUUUUGGAGGCCAACUGAGGAGGGUCUUACAUGCUAUGUUAACAGGCCUAGACUUCAUUCUAUAUGCAAACAGGGAGAUCCGGACUAAUGAGGGGUAUGUGUGUGUCCUUGUAUGUGCAUGUGCACGAAGGUGACAUAAUCAGGUAUGACUUUUAGAUGAUACUUGGUGACAAAGGAAGGGUGGAGAAUGUAAACUAGAGAAGCCUGGGAUAAUAUGGCUGCUUGGGAAUGGUGAGAAUUCUGGCAGCUGCAUUGCUGAUGAGUAAAGUGGAGGGAAGCUUUGGAAAAGUGUUUAGGGCCAAUCAGUAGAAGGUCAUACAUUCAUACUAAAGGGUUUGUUUCAAUAAGUAUAGCUAAAGAAUCCCACUCAUAGCUUUUUUUCCUGUGGUUUACAUGACAGUUAUUAAUGGCUCUCCUACUAGGAGCCUGACAUCAUGGUGAGCAUCGAGAAAGGAAUAACCUAAGCUGAAGACACGCCUUUUCAGGAGGCCAAGUUCCACGUUCUGUGCAUGCUUUUGGCGAAAGUCAGGUAAAGCCUCCAGAAAUGCAUGGUCUAUUCUCUCGGACCAUAUGGCUGUGGGCAAACUCUGGCUUCUUGGAGCCUCCAUUAGCCACCUAGGGAAAGGUAAUUGGCUUUAUGUUUGGCUCCAUCACUGCUGGCGACAAGCUCCACUGCAUUCUCAAGCAGUAGAUGAAAUACAACUGUGCUCCUGAAUGCAGCAAAGGAAAGAGAACCCAACUGGACCAGUGUGAAAUUGGGACCUUUGGAGGCAAGAAUGCACAUAUUUAUAAAUGAAUAAACAUAAUUUUUCUCUCUUCUUCCCAUUGGCAGCAUAUCUGAAGGCCCUGACUCAACAGUAGUGGGUCUUAAUGCUUGUGCUUGUCCACCCUUCUCGGCAGUGAUUGAUUUCAUUGUUGGCUUGUUUUCAUGACUUGAAUGUGCGAUCUUCAGAGGGCCUAAUUCCUUGCAAGUUCCAUUUGAGGGUGGAAGAGCUAGAACAAGCUAUAACCAGUAGACAACUCCGUGACUCAGGAGCUUAAGCAUGUGACUAAUUAGUAAGAAAAAAUGUGGUGAAGAUUUGUAGUUAAUAAGAAGGAAAGAAGAAUCACUGGGGCUAGAAUUAUGCAAGCUUUUGUUUCCUUUUGGGACUAUAUCAGAACUAUGAGAGAAGAAAGGCUACCUUUUACCUUUGAGGAAUUUUCAAAGCCUUUUUUUUUUUUUUUGGUUGGUUUGUGACUGACAAAGGGCACAAUUUCAACACCUCAGAAAAAUGCCUCAUCAUUUCCUCUUGUGAAAUCUGGGUGCUUCUGAAUGAAUCCAUGUUAGGAAUGUGUACUUCCAUCCAUUAAAGUCAAUGUCCAGUCUCAUUUUGGGCCAGAGGCUGUUACUAAGUUGUAGUACUGGUGAGAAAAGGACAGAGCAUUUACCUUCCCUGGGUAUCCUGUGACCUACAUGUGUCCUUGCAAGGCAGGGAAAUGUUACUAAUUAAGAGCAUAGCCUUUCGUCAGAUGGGUUCAGAUCCUAACACAUCCUCUUUCUGGUUACAGGACAGUCCUCUCUGAGCCUCAGUUUUCUCAUCUCUAAGAUGAGGCUAAUUAUACCUACUUCCCAGGGGGGUACUAAGGAUAAAGUAACAACACAAGAAAAUUUUUUAUCCUUGAUUUUCUUAGCUGGAAAAUUAGGCUAGAAAGACCUCCAUCCUUGGGGUAUUUAAAAUAAAAGGACAAACAUAUGAUGAGUCUAAGUGAUCAAUACAUUGUGGCUUUUGUACUUACUAUUCUGAAACAUGGGUGUGGCCUAGAUACUUUCCAAAAUUCUGCCCUCUCCACCUAGCAAAAUGACAACCAGACUUACAGAUAUGCCAACAAGCUAGUGUUUAAUAAUGGUGUUUGAUGAUAAAUGGCAUUUCUUUUCGACAUUUGUCUCUUUUUAAAACUUGGUGCUCUUAAAUGCAUCAUUGGAUAAGUGAUGACUGUUCCCAUUCGCAAGAAGAGACCUGGAAUCUAAGCAUGAAGGACCUGUCCUGAUGUUGAGAAGUGUGGAUCACAUUUAUUUGUAAACUUAGCUUCUUGCUCGUCUCAUGGUUGCUUUUUUUUCUUUUUCCUUUUUCUUUUUUUUUUUUUUUUUUUUUUUUUUUUUUUUGAGAGGGAGUCUCACUCUGUCACCCAGGCUGGAGUGCAGUGGUGUGAUCCCGGCUCACUGCAACCUCCACCUCCCGGUUUCAAGCAAUUCUCCUGCUUCAGCCUCCCCAGAAGCUGGGAUUACAGGCACGUGCCACCAUACCCGGCUAACUUUUUUUUUUUUUUUUUUUUUUUUUUGGGAUUUUUAGUAGAGAUGGGGUUUUGCCAUAUUGGUCAGGCUGGUCUCGAACUCCUGACUUCGUGGUCCGCCCACCCGCCUCAGCUUCCCAAAGUAUUAGGAUUACUGGCGUGAGCUACCGCGCCUGGCCUUAUGGUUUUUCUCAUUUUUUCUUCCCUUCCUCCCUCGAUUCCUUUGUUCCUUUUACUCUACCAUGCCUACUGUAAAGAAUAAACAAUAGAUUGGAUCUACUCUCAAGAUGCAGGAUAGAGAAAACCAUCAUUUAUUAAAUGGCAUCUACACCGCAGGCUUUGUACCAGGCACACACUCCACUGUUCCCAGUUAUCCCUUACUGCACCCCUAGAGGUAUAUGUUUUCCCAGAAAAGAUAAACAAGUUGCCCAAAGUCACAUAUCACAUAGCUAGCAAGCGAACAUGGGGCUGAAAUAAAACACUGCCCAAUUCCAAAAUCCAUAUACUUGUUUCUUCAUGUUUCCCUAUGAAAAUGGCAAAGGUGAGGAGUGUGUGGUGUGUGUGCGUGUGCGCGUGCAUGUGCGUGUGUGUUUGCACAUGGAAAAUUCCAAAUAUCACAACUUCUCUAUAGACACUAGACUCAUUCUUUGGCUAUGGCUGUGUCCGUUAUCCCAAACUCUAUCUUUACCCCAGUUUUUACACUUGCAAAAGUAGAGAAACUUUAAGGUCCACCAGCUUUUACUAACCUCCCUCUUGCUCUGAUAGCUGUGUAAUAAUUUUUGUAUCCUUCCCAGUGGGUUCCCAGUCUUUUCAUCUGCUAGGACCAUCUGGUAACUCAUCACCAAACAUGGUGCCUGACAGCAUCACUGGUGCCCUGCAAAUGUCCACCUGAUAAAUGAGUGAAUUAAUGAAUGAAUAAGAAAAUGAAGGAUACUGGCUGCCCCUGGCCAACUAUAUCUUGGCUUUGGCUUGUCAUUCUAGAUUUGUGAUACUGGCUUCUAGCAGAAGCUUAAAGCCUCUUUUUUGUUCUUUUGUUCCUCUAAUGUACUCCCCCUGCCCCUCCACCAAGAUGGGAAGGAGGGCUGAUCUGAGCAUUCAGGUUUCAGAAUGCUAAUUGGAUAGCAGCCAAUUAGAAGUAGAUCCGUAAGGAUUUAAUUAGACUUUCUGGGUAGAUUUGGAUAUUGCUUUCAAAAUGAAAAGGCCCCAAAUCCAGGUUCCCCUGGAUUAUAAUAGUUUUAUGGCUCUGCCCUGCUUUAAUUUGAGGCUAGUUGGCAAUACCCUGUCCAGGAAAAAGGAAUCUUCCAUGUAGUCCUGUCUGUUCUACUGAGGUCUACAUUUGGGUUUUAGCAAACAAUUCAGCUAAUAUAUAUUAUUUUUCUUUGUUCUCAAGGAUUUAAUGGCAAGAUGCCAUUAUAGACAAGAACAGGAUUCAGACACUUUCGUGUUAUGUGUUCUUGUCCAAAUACUGUGUCACUCUGCACUGGCAUCCCAAUCCCACCAACACCUUUAGCAGGAACUUCCUGUUUCAAUAACAUUUCUCAAUACUCUACCUGAUUGCUUAGAAUCCAUGAGACAGCCAUAUUCUCCAUGUCUAGGUCCCUAUCUUAUUUUUGUUGAGAUGGUGUUAAGACUUUAUUUGUGAGGCUUCUGGGGAAGAGGAGUAAGGUAUUGAUCCCACUGACUGGAUAAUUUGGGUCUCAAAAUGGAUAAUAAAUAAGCAUUACAUAUUUUGACCACUUCCUUGGAGGAGAACUUCUUGGAAUGUGCACCAUGUCCGCUGCACUUUUUUUGCACAGAUAUCUAAGUUGGAGAAACAUACUACUAGAUAAAUCAAUUUGUUCUCUUAGUACUCAUGAUAUGGUUCCUGGGAACUUCUGAUUCACCAAAUUAAUCUUGGCCAGGUACAUACCUGGCAGGAAUCCAAAAAUUCCCCAAGUCUCCUUGAAGUUCAGGAUCAUCAUUCUUAAUAAAUACACCGAGGGAAAAACCAUGGAGAGUUUGUCCCAGAUGCUGUGAAUCUGGCCCGGGGUACAUGAAGAAGUCCUUAAUUGCAGUCAUUUACAUGGUAGAUUCUCUAUAAUCAUUUAAUUUGCUAUAGGUCUAUGAUUUUUAGUCCUUCUUCUCUAAAUGAUUGAACAUGUAUAAUUCCCAUUUCAAUCAUAUUACCUGGAUGAACAAAAGUAACGCUAGACUCAUUCAUGCAUUCUGGUUGCCAAGGAAAAGGAAAAAAAAAACAAAACAAUCAACAGGAUGUUUAAACUGUCUUAGGGCAACUUCAGGCCAUAGUCACUGGUGUUCUUGCAGACUAUGAGAUAUUUUACAUUCUGAUAAGGGAUAAAAAUUCGUGCCUCACAUGGCUCCCAUCACACUAAGAUCUUGCAACAAUAACACUACUGAUUCAGACAUUAAUCUUAAGUAUCCAGGGAGCCCUAAAACAUUGUAUCCCACUAGCAAGGACCAUGGUAAUUGCCACGUAAAUCCCCUCCAUUAUGUGGCCCUUAUUAUGACCAGCCAGCCAAGGCUUGCCUUUAAAUCAUACCAAUUGAACCGAGCCUUGUAGAAACACUAUCACCUACGCAUACCUCUGCUUCUUUUCAUUAACCUGCUAUCCUCUUUACAAAUGGGAUUCUUCACCCACUCCCUUCUUCUAGAUUAGCAAUGCCCUGUUAAGUAAACGAACACGAAAUUCAAAGGGAAACAGGAGCAAUCAUCAUUACCAGCUGCCGUGUUAAGCAUUGCGAAAACGCUCACGAUUCACAGAAAAAUCCAUGCUGUUCUUUGAAGGCAUUCAAGCCUUAAUAGCUAGCUGGAUGAAUGUUUAACUUCUAGGCCAGGCACUACUCUGUCCCAACAAUAAGCCCUGUACAUUGGGAAAGGUGCCGAGACAUGAACUUUGGUCUUCUCUGCAAUCCAUCUGGAGCAUUCACUGACAACAUCGACUUUGAAGUUGCACUGACCUGGCCAGCCCUGCCACUUACCAGGUUGGCUCUGUAUGGCUAAGCGUUUUCUCCUAAAAUCCCUUGAAAACUGUGAGAAGACCAUAAGAAGAUCAUAUCUUUAAUUCUAUUUCACAAGUCACACAAUAUUCCAAUCAAAUACAGAUGGUUGAGAAAAGUCAUCCAUCUUCCCUCCCCACCCUCCCACAGCCCCUCAACCACUGCCCUGAAACUUAUAUGCUGUUAUCCGCAGCUCCAUCUGGAGCAUCACAGCUACUGUCAACCCUGACGCUCUUUCUGAAAAAACACCGGAUGGACAUCAGAACUAUUUCUUUAAGGAUGUUACUGAGCCACACAGGAAAACUUGCCUUAUGAUUUUGAAUGCACGGAUCUGAUUUGACUAAACAUGAUAACUAGAGAAUCACCCAAUCUACUCCCAUUUUCAACUCUAAAUCAUCAGAGUGUCUCAAAUCCAAAGCACACACAGACCAGCCUGGCCAACACGGUGAAACUCCACCCCUACUAAAAGUAUAAAAAUUAUCCAGGUGUGGUGGCGGGCGCCUGUAAUCCAAGCUACUUGGGAGUCUGGAGGCAGGAGAAUCCCUUGAACCUGGGAGAUGGAGGUUGCAGUGAGCAGAGAUCACACCACCGCACUCUAGCCUGGGCCACAAAUCAACAACAACAACAACAACAAAAAACAAAGCGCACACAGAGACUGAGGUCCUCUUUGGCAUUGAGAAGAUGGCUAUGCAAGUCCCAACUAGCAAGUGCAAACUUCCCAGCUUCACUUCUGCCAGUGUCCCUUCACCCCUUCUCAACCCCACUGGGAGGCAGGAGGGUGCUUGACAAUAACAGCCUUGGCAUCACUCUGCCAGGGUGUAAUAGGAACUGUUACAAUUCUGAGAUUCUGUAAGUGCUUUGAGAUUUUGGAGUCAGACUGCUUGAACUUGAAUCCUGGCCCUCUCAUCAGAGACUUGACUUAUUUUAGGCAAGUUAUAUAACCAAUUUUACCUCAGUUCCUUACCCAUAAAAUGGGUCUAAUGAGAGUACCUACCACACAGAAUUUUGAUGAAAACUGAAUGAGAUGAAGGCCUUUAAGGCAGUGGUCCCCAACCCUGGGGACACAGACAGGUACCAUUUUGUGGCCUGUUAGGAACUGGGCCACACAGCAGGAGGUGAGCAGUGGGUGAGUGAGAUCAGCGUUAUUUACAGCUGCUCCCCAUUGCUCACCUUACUGCCUGAGCUCCACCUCCUGUCAGAUCAGCAGUGGCAUUAAAUUCUCAUAGCAGCACAAACCCUGUCAUGAACUGCACAUGCGAGGGAUCUAGGUUGUGCGCUCCUUAUGAGAAUCUAAUGCCUAAUGACCUGUCACCGUCUCCCAUCACCCCUAGAUGGGAGUGUCUAGUUGCAGGAAACAAGCUCAGGGCUUCCACUGAUUCUACAUUAUGGUGAGUUGUAUAAUUAUUUCAUUAUAUAAUACAAUGUAAUAAUAAUAGAAACACAGUGCACAACAAAUGUAAUGUGCUUGAAUCAUCCCCAAACCAUCCCAGUCCACGGUCUUCCACAUUUUGUCUUUUCACAAAAUUGUCUUCCACAAAACUGGUCCCUGGUGCCAAAAAGGCUUGGGACCACUGCUUUAAAGCCUUUGCAUAGUGCUUAGAAUUGAGGGGGAAAAAAAAAACAAAAACAAUGUAGCUAGUUGCUACAAUCACUAUAUUGGUGAGUUUCAAAAGGAAAAGAAUUCUGUCCCAUUUAUGCUUGAGCCUUGAGUUGCUAACCAAGCCUGACACAAAAUUACUGUUGAAGGGAUGUGUGAGUCCUAAUUGAAAUGAGGCCUCUUAAGGGAAUUGUGGACCAAACCCCAAGCAGGCAGAAAGCCGUAUCUUAAUUAUUGCAAGUAUUUCAGGCAAGGUGUGGAUGGCCAUUUGAAUUCAAGCAGACUAGGACCUGGGAUGAGAAAGAAGGUGUGUACGUGACUUGAUCUUUGAACUUUAGCUCACCAUCUGGAAGAAGGCUGAGUAUUCUCUGCACUCACAUAGUAGCUAAUGCCUACUCCCCAGCCACCCACAAUUCUUUCUGUAGGAAGGCUCGCUAGAAUACUUUGUGAUAUUGGAUAUUAGUUCCAUAUUCUACUGUGUAUCUUAGUUCAACCAAAUUGUAAUCAUCUGAUAUUUAUUUCUUUUAAUAUAAAUAUAAGUAUAUUAAGUCUUGGCAUGCUUGCUCAGUCUCUCUCUCUCUCCCAUUCCUCCCCGCUCCCCUCUCUCUUUCCCAACAGGCUUGGAAAGCAGGCAUCACCAUGCCUAUUUAACAGUUGGGGUCCCUUGGCCACCAGGUGCUGGAGUAGGAAUCUGAGCCCGGACAUGCCUGAUCUGUAAAUUUUGUGUUUUCCCCACUGUGCUGGGCAGAUCACAGCUAUCAGCGCCAAAUUCAUAGAAGGGGCGCCCCCUGUGGUCAAUUGAGGGAUUUGUGUUUGAGGUAGAUCUCAAGAAGGAAUGGGUGGGGAACUUAGCCUAGGACAGAGCAGAAAGGAGCCCUCACUCCCCAAGCACCAACGGCCUCAGUCCUUCCUGCUGACUCCAGCCUCUAGCUCUCACCCAGACUAUCUGCAUCCUUCUCUCCACCACGCUCCUUUGGAACCUGCGUAAAACACAGAUUAAAGGAAUUCCGCCUUACUUCCCUUUCCGCAUUAUGACCAAAUGGUUUUACACUAUCAUUGAACAGUUUAGUACAAAACAUGCCACCUUUUAAUCUAUUCAUUCAUUUAACAAAUACUUUGGAGUGUUUACCAUGUGCCAAGUGCUGUUCUAAUAGACAUAAGCUGUGAGGUUAUGCUUAUCUGAUUCUCACAGCAACAGCUUUCGAGAUAUGAAUUGGUAUACUCAUUUGACAGAUGAGGAAAUUGAAUUCAUGUAGUGAGAAAGGAAGAGCUGCAAUUCAGGGUUACUGGUUUCUCCUGCACUAAGCACUGAGCCACACUAGAAGAGAAGGCAUGAGGAAGACAAAAGUGAGAAGGUACGAGAGAAGAUAUUAAGUAGAGGUCUAUUAGUUCCUCUUAAAACUAUUUAUGAAAGAGGCGGAUGGGGUAGUGGAUGGGAAAGACAGAUGGAUUCAUGUUCUUCACUCCAGGUUUCCCCCCAUUCCCUUCCCUUUUAAAUGCCUGCUCAUUUUUUGGCUACCUUUCAAGCUCUAGGAAAUACUCUGGAAUUCCAGGCUGGGAGGGGUUUCCUUUGCAGAUCUGGCUAUUGUAACUUUACAAGAAAUUGCUCAAUACUUCCUCUCACCAGUUACAAACCACGGUUUUCUGAAUGAACUUUAUGUUCAUUAAACAGUUAACCCUUCAGCUUUCUGACUCACAUUUUUCAUGUUAUUAAUCAGCUCUUAGAGUAAGGUAAAAUCUAGAACAGACUUUAUAUACACCCUCCCUCCCACACACAUAUACAUACAUAAUACAAACACAGACCACACAUGUCCACAUCCUUAUGCGCAAACACUAAGAAACACACGCAUACACAAACAUACAUGUACACAAAAUUAAAUACAUAGCUAUGGCACUUUCACUAUACAUGUAAACACCCUUACACACAUACAAAUGUACAUGCGCGUGUGCGCACACACAUAUGGAAUUAGCUUUUUCUCUUUGUGGGAGGAGGGAAAUGAAAAGACCCAAAACAUUCAGAUUCCCAAAUGGACACGUAAGAACCCCGUCAUGGAAAUAGGUCUGGGUUUUUUUCUCUUUUGAGGGAAGCAGGGCGUUUCUGGUUACUGUCGCCAUUGCCAUUGUGCCCCUGCUUACCAUCCCCCUGCACCGCCCCCCCGGCCCCCGCCCGCCACUGCUAGGGUUUACAGGUCAUCCCUGGAUUAAAUAAGUGAUAUUGUGUUUUUUUUUCUUUGACACAAAGUAAAAUUAUAAUUAAUAUUGAAUAAAGUAAAAAUGAACUCCUGAGUUCCAGUCCCUUAUGUAACACACCUGGUUUGUGGCAGGCACUCAGGAAAUAUUAGUUGCAUGAACGAAGGCUGCAUUUUCAUUAGAACAACAUGCAGUUCAACCCCUUCAUGUUUCAAUGAGGGUUCAGAUACCCAGAGGGCUAUGCUAUCAUCCUGGAGCCCACUCUGCUAACAAUUAGCAGAACGGAAGCCUUAAUUUCCAGAUUCUAGUGAACUUGAUGAGUCAAGACUAUUGCAAUUGGAAAUCUGUUCUCCUCUGCUGCUGCAUUCCCUGCUUAAUACUCAAGCCAGAAACCAGGAAGGUAUGUGCCACAAAGUAAAGUGGGAUUCAGGACAAUUAUCCAUCAAGACUUUGUUACAGAUAUCCAAAGCAGGCAAUUCAAGACCCAGCUUGACUUUACUGUCUCCAUUGUGGUGGUUAAUGGAGACAAAUUCAAUUCAAAUAUGUGCACGUGGAUUUCUUUGUUUCUCUGAGGUUUGACUUAUCUGCCAAAAGAGAGAAACACAGAAAGAGGGGAGAAACAGGAGAGGGGAAAGAGAGAGGAGAGAGAAACCAAGGAAAUGUGACAUAUAAUAAUUUUUUAAAGAAUAUUUUUUCAUUUUUUUAUUGAGGUAUAAAAUACAUGUAGUAAGGCUGUGGCUUGCCUUUUCACUUCUUGUGUCCUGUUUAAGAAAUAUCUGCUAUCCCAAGCAUCUGGCAUCUUUCUUGACAUAUGUAGCAGUUGCUUUUUGACAGCUUGCUUCUUCAGUGAAUGAAUAAAUUAAUAAAGAGAAAUGUGAUGUUCAGUGAUCCAUUUUGCAGAUUGCAAACUCCUAGAGAAGGGCUCAACAGUGAGUGCUGAGGCUGCACAGAGGAGGAAGGCAGCACAAUGAUGGAAGGCUUCCUAAAGAGAUAACACUAACAAAGUUGACCUUAGAAUUGGAGUGCCUGGGUUAGAACCCUGCUGGUACCACCUGCUUACUGCAUGCUUCUGAUGUGAGUUCAGGAGAAGACACUGGCAAGGACAGCAAAGAACAGGAGAACACUCUAGCUUCCCUGAUAGCAUUCAAGGUGCUGUCCAAACUGACUGUGAUGGCACCCUCCAGACAGACAGCGAUGCCACAUGUUCAAGAUGGCAGAAUCACUAUCAGCUUCAAUUCCUGAAUGACUGCAGAGCAAAAUUUCUUACCUGCAACAUACACUCUAUUUUCAGCCUCCCUGGACUGUUACAUAAUGAUACAUAAAAAUAUUUCUUGUGUUGAGGCAUCCCAAAUUUGAUUUAUUUGUCAUCACAGUCUAUCCUAUGAAUAUAUUUCUGAUCCAAAUAAUGCUAGAUUCAUGAGAGUUUAUAGUCCAGAGAUUUUUUUUUUUUUUUUGAGACAGAAUCUGUCUCCCAGGCUGGGGUGCAGUGGCAUAAUCUUAGCUCACUGCAACCUCUGCCUCCCGGGCUCAAGUGAUCCUCCCUCCUUAGCCUCCAUGAGUAGCUGGGACCACAGGUGUGCACCACCACACCCCGCUAAUUAUUUUGUAUUUUUUGCAGAGGGGGGUUUCACCACAUUGCCCAAGCUGGUCUCAAACUCCUAGACUUAAGGGAUCUGCCUGCCUUGGCCUCCCAAAAUGCUGAAAUUACACUUGUUAGCCAUAGUAAUAGUUCCUAGCCAUAGUCCGGAGAUAUUUUAAAAACUUUAGUGUGAGUUAUUUCUCUUUGCUAUAAUUCUCUCAUGCAUUUUGAAAACCUUUUCUGCCAUACAGUGGUUUUUGGGAAGUCCUUUUGGACAGACAUAUCACAGGAUGGAGAAACUAAAAAGAGAGAAUGCAUUAAAGAAAAAAUAGUACUUCGUAUUUCAGAAAUUACAAAAGGGUGUCAUGCCCCACAGCAUGGUGGGCAGUCAUUUGUAACCCACAGAACAUUGAGUUUCUAAAAUUUGAGUGUUUUUAACUUACGAAGGCCAACUUUACUGAUGAAGUGAUUACCCCAAAUAUGUGAAAUCCAUAUUUCAAGUACAAUAGUAGGAAAUUGGAAAUGGGUAGGUAUAUUUCUGACUGUCAAAGAGUACAAAGUAAAGAGGGGCCCCUGAAGAGUGACACUACUGGAAAAACAGAAGAAAAAAAAAACUGUUUCUUUUUUUAAAGAGCAGUCAACCUCAAACUUACUACUAAUGACUGUAUUUCAUUUCAGUCUACCCCAGUGGUUUUGUUUCUCAUAGACUGUAGAAUGUAAGCCUUUUUGGUCAUUCUGACAGAUUUUCCAGCACAAAGAAUAUCAGGGGAUUAACUGACAAAUCAUGGGUAUUUUUGGCAAGAUAGUAGAUUAACCCUGGAAAUUUUCUCCAUCUAUGAGAAAAAAAGACAUGUGCCACCUGAGGGUUACAAAGACUGUUGGUGGCUGACCUCAGGCUCCUGUCUUUUAUUUUAUUUUAUUUUUUUACCAUUUUACCUCUGCCCUGUUUUUUUAAAUUAUUAUUAUUUUACUUUAAGUUCUGGGAUACAUGUGCAGAACUGCGGGUUUGUUACAUGUGCCAUGGUGGUUUGCUGCACCUAUCAACCCGUCAUCUAGGUUUUAAGUCCCACAUGCAUUAGGUAUUUGUCGUAAUGCUCUCCCUCCCCUUGGGCCCCACCCCUCAACGCGCCCCACCCCUCAACAGGCCCCAGGGUGUGAUGUUCCUCUCUGUGUGUCCUUGUGUUCUCACUGUUCAGCUCCCACUUAUGAGUGAGAACACACAGUGUUUGGUUUUCUGUUCCUGUGUUAGUUGGCUGAGAAUUAUGGCUUGCAGCUUCAUCCAUGUCCCUGUAAAGGACAUGAACCCAUUAUUUUUUGUGGCUGCAUAGUAUUCCAUGGUAUAUGCCAUGUGCCAUGUUUGCUUUAUCAUUGAUGGGCAUUUGGGUUGGUUCCAAGUCUUUUCUAUUGUAAUUAGUGCUGCAAUAAGCAUACGUGUGCAUGUGUCUUUAUAGUAGAAUGAUUUAUAAUCCUUUGGGUAUAUACCCAGUAAUGGGAUUGCUGGGUCAAAUGGUAUUUCUGGUUCUAGAUGCUUGAGGAAUCAUCACACUGUCUUCCACAAUGGUUGAACUAAUUUACACUCCCACAAACAGUGUAAAAGCGUUCCUAUUUCUCCACAGCAUCACCAGCAUCUGUUGUUUCCUGACUUCUUAAUAAUUGCCAUUCUAACUGGUGUGAGAUGGUAUCUCAUCAUGGUUUUGAUUUGCAUUUUUCUAAUGACCAGUGAUGAUGAGUUUUUUUCAUAUGUUUGUUGGCCAAAUAAAUGUCUUCUUUUGAGAAGUAUCUGUUCAUAUCCUUUGCCCAUUUAUUGAUGGGGUUGCUUGAUUUUUUUCUUGUAAAUUUGUUUUCAGUUCCUUGUAAAUUCUAGAUAUUAGACCUUUGUCAGAUGGGUAGACUGCAAAAAUUUUCUCCCAUUCUAUAGGUUGCUUGUUCACUAUGGUGAUAAUUUCUUUUGCUGAACAGAAGCUCUUUAGUUAAUUAGAUCCCAUUUGUCAAUUUUGGCUUUUGUUGCCAUUGCUUUUGAUGCUUUAGUCAUGAAGUCUCUGCCCAUGCCUGUGUCCUGAAUGGUAUUGCCUGGGUUUUCUUCUAGGGUUUUUAUGGUUUGGGGUUUUACAUUCAAGGCUUUAAUCCAUCUUGAGUUAAUUUUUGUAUAAGGUAUAAGGAAGGGGUUCAGUUUCUGUUUACUGCAUAUGGCUAGCCAGUUUUCCUAGCACCAUUUAUUAAAUAGAAAGUCCUUUCCCCAUUGCUUGUUUUUGUCAGGUUUGUCAAAGGUCAGAUGGUUGUAGAUGUGUGGUGUUAUUUCUGAGGUCUCUGUUUCAUUGGUCUAUAUAUCUGUUUUGGUACCAGUACCAUGCUGUUUUGGUUACUGUAGCCUUGUAGUAUAGUUUGAAGUCAGGUAGUAUGAUGCCUCCAGCUUUGUUCUUUUUGCUUAGGAUUGUCUUGGCUAUAUGGGCUCUUUUUUGGUUCCAGAUGAAAUUUAAAGUAGUUUUUUUCUAAUGCUGCAAAAAAAGUCAAUGUUAGCUUGAUGGGAGUAGCAUUGAAUCUAUACAUUACUUUGCUCUGCCCCUGUUUAUACAUACAUGACUGAUAUGGUUUGGCUGUGUCCCUGCCCAAAUCUCAUCUUGAAUUCCCACAUGUUGUGGGAGGAACCUGGGGGGAGGCAACUGAUCAUGGGGCAAGUCUUUGCCAUGCUGUUCUUGUGAUAGUGAAUAAGUCUCAUGAGAUCUGACGGUUUUAAAAAGAGGAGUUCCCCUGCACAAAUUCUCUCUCUUUGCCUGCUGCCAUCCAUGUAAGGCAUGACUUACUCCUCCUUGCCUUCUGCCAUGAUUGUGGGGCUUCCUCAGCCAUGUGAAACUGUAAGUCCAAUUAAACAUCUUUCUUUUGUAAAUUGCCCCGUCUCAGGUAUGUCUUUAUCAGCAGUGUGAAAAUGGACUAAUACAAUGAUACAAGAGUAGUUAGAACAGUAUUUAUAAAUGUGCCAAUGUUAAUCAACAUAGGAGUUAACGAUUCCCUGUUUUUCUGUGAUUUCUCAUGCACCAAAAAUAUAUUAAGAUAAAAUAUACAAUUUUCAUUCACUAUUAAGUGACUAACCUCAUAUUGCUUUCAAAGGCAUUUAUUGGCACCUACUAUGUGUGAAUACACUCAGCUUGCUUAUGUGAAAGCUGAAUAACAAAGUGGUUAUGUAACUUAAUGAAGGUCCCACAACUAGGAAGUGGUAGAGUAACUUUCUAAACCACUUUCCUCCCAGUUUAGUUUCACAUUCAUGUGUUCAGUCAACAAGCACUUAUGGAAUCCUGAUGCUGGGCCCUACUUUAUGGUAGACACUGAAGAUACAGACUUUGUCCCUGCCCUCAUGGAGUUCACAGUUCAGGAGGGAAACCAGAUUUAAUCAAAUAACCACACAAAAAUUUGCUCGUAAAAUGAAACCAAUGCUAUAAGGAAAAUGAACAGGGUGAUUUGAGAGCAUAUAAUAGGAUUUUAUCAUAUCUGAUGAUUCAGAGUAAUGUUCUCCUAUAGAAGAGAUGUGGGAACUGACAUCUGAAGUGUCAGUGUUAGUUAGCCAGGUGUGGUAUAUAAAAGAUGACCAGCUUAUCCACCAAGAGGUAGAAUUGCUUUCCCCAUGCAUUAAAUCUGGACUGGCCUUUGACUUGCAGUGUCCAACAGAUAAAGUGGAAGUUUCUGCUCUUGCUCCCUUGGAAUAUUGUUCUGAGACUGCCAGCUGAAGAAGUCUAGUCUAGUCUAGUUUAUUAGUGGAUGAGAGGCUGGUAGAAAAGCGAAAAACUGUUGCAGCUGAGUCCCCUGAGUCCAACCAGUUGACAGCCUGCAGCGACUGUGUGAGGCCAUCUUAGAUUAUUCAGCCCCACUACAGAUGCCAAAUAUCUGCAGCUGUAAAAGUGAUUCCAGGCAAUAACAGAAGAACCAUCCUGCUGAUCCUAGCCCAAAUUGCUGGCCAUAGAACCAUGAGCUAAUAAGACAGCUGUGGUUAUAAUAUAUUGAGUUUGGGGUUGGCAUGUUACAUGGCAGUCAGUUAUUGAUACCCUGAGAGAAGUAUGGAAGCUGGGACUGAAUUCUAGGAAGAGGGAAAGAUAUAGGCAAAGGUCCUGAGGAGGGAAGAAUAAACUUUUAGAGAACUGAAAGAAAGAUGAUGAGAUAGAAGACUUCAGAGGGCUAGGCAAGGCCCAAGUCUAAAAGCAGUGUCUUAGAAUCUGUCAAAAAUCUCAUCUUUUUAUUGUUGUUUGGAACAAAGUCUUUCUUUAUUGCCUAGGCUGCAGUCAUGCAGUGGCACAAUUAAAGCUCACUUCAGCCUCGACCUCCUGAGCUCAAGCAAUCAGCCUCCUGACUAGCUGGGACUACAGGUGUGGAUGACUAUACCCAGCUAUUUUUUUUUUUUUAUUUUUUGUAGAAACAGGGUCUUACCAUGUUGCUCAGGCUGGUCUCAGACUUCUGGGCUCAAGCAAUCCUCCUGCCUCAGCCUCCCAAAGUGUUUGGAUUAUAGGCAUGAGCUAGCAUGCUCGGCUGUGAGUUCAAUUUUUUUCUUUAAAAGCAAGAGAAAGUCACUGUAGAGAUUUUGAGCUCAGAAGUGUCAUGAAUAGACUUGCACAUGUGCAUAUAUUGUUUUUUUUUUUUUUCACCAGGCGCAAACUUAUGGUGGAAGGGACCUACAUUAAGCACACAUAAGUAGAAGCUGGCCAGGCACGGUGGCUCAUGCCUGUAAUCCCAGCACUUUGGGAGGCCGAGACUGGUGGAUCACGAGGUCAGGAGAUCGAGACCAUCCUGGCUAACAUGGUGAAACCCCGUCUCUAUCAAAAAUACAAAAAAAAAUUAGCCAGGUAUGGUGGGGGGCGCCUAUACUCCCAGCUACUCGGGAGGCUAAGGCAGAAGAACGGC
rnacentral:lncRNA from 10 species